rnacentral:rRNA from 1 species
UGCAUAUCAAUAAGCGGAGGAAAAGAAACUAACAAGGAUUCCCCUAGUAACGGCGAGUGAAGCGGGAAAAGCUCAAAUUUGUAAUCUGGCGCCUUGGGCGUCCGAGUUGUAAUCUCGAGAAGUAUUUUCCGCGCUGGACCGCACAUAAGUCUGUUGGAAUACAGCGUCAUAGUGGUGAGAACCCCGUAUAGGGUGCGGAUGCCCAGUGCUUUGUGAUAUACUUUCGAAGAGUCGAGUUGUUUGGGAAUGCAGCUCAAAUUGGGUGGUAAAUUCCAUCUAAAGCUAAAUAUUGGCGAGAGACCGAUAGCGAACAAGUACCGUGAGGGAAAGAUGAAAAGCACUUUGGAAAGAGAGUUAACAGUACGUGAAAUUGUUGGAAGGGAAACGCUUGAAGUCAGACUUGCAUUUUGGAGUUCAGCCGCAAGGUGUAUUCUUCAAUUCGCAGGCCAGCAUCAGUUUCUGGGGGUGGAAAAGCGCGGUUGGAAGGUAGCAGUCUCGGCUGUGUUAUAGCUUUCCGCUGGAUUCACUUUUGGGGACUGAGGAACGCAGUACGCUUUUUGCAAGAUUCUCGAAUCUUUCGUACUUAGGAUGCUGGUGGAAUGGCUUUAAACGACCCGUCUUGAAACACGGACCA